GGCGGAACUACAUGGAAGCCUCCGUCGACCUAUCCGUCCCAUAUCUGAUGUCAUUGACCAGAAGCACAACAGCCGCUGCAGUAGCCACGCCCACCAGAGCAGUGACGACCAAUCGGAACACAGCUUCGACAGUACCACAACAAUGGACAGGGACUUCUGAAAAAAGAGAGAGUCACAUGACCCACAUUCACCACUGAACACACCAAUGAACAAUUCUUCUCUGAGGAUGAGGAUGAAGAACAGUUUGAAGAGUUACUGCUGAUGAUAGGAACAGGCAGACGAGCUGGAAACAUCAGAGAAAAAGGAGAAAUGAGGAUGAAACUAAUCAACAAUCUUAAUUUUGUUUCAAUGUUUUAAUUCACUACUAUUUCAGCAUGUAAAUGAUCAAAUAAGAAUAUGAGAAGGACAGGACAAAUGAUCUCUACUCACCAUAGACAGAAACACUGAAUGUUUUUUAUGUUGAUUUUGCUCCACUUAUCAGUAGUUGAUAAACUCCAGCAUGUUCAGUUGUGAUGUUUGUGAUGGUCAGAGAUCCAGUUUGAUCGUCCAGCUUCAGUCUGUCUCUGAAUCUCUCAUCAGCAACAUCAUAUUUGCUGAAGAGUCCAUCCUCUAUUCUUAUUUGAGCUAUUAGAGUCUUUUCAGCUCCAAAUCUCCACACAAUGUAAUCGUCAUGUUUUCUAAUAAAAUCAGUUCUUAGAGUGACAGAAUCUCCCUCCGUCACUGAUAAU